rnacentral:misc_RNA from 1 species
GAUGAAGAACGUAGCGAAAUGCGAUACUUGGUGUGAAUUGCAGAAUCCCGUGAACCAUCGAGUCUUUGAACGCAAGUUGCGCCCGAAGCCAUCAGGUUGAGGGCACGUCUGCCUGGGCGUCACAUAUCGUUGCCCAAUGCCUAUUGCAGUGCAAUAGGAAUUUCUAGGGCGAAUGAUGGCUUCCCGUGAGCGUUGUUGCCUCGCGGUUGGUUGAAAAUCGAGUCCUUGGUAGGGUGUGCCAUGGUAGAUGGUGGUCGAGUUAGAACGAUACCGAUCAUGUGCAUGCUCCCUAAAAUAUGGCCUCUAUGACCCACACGCGUCUUUUGACGCUCAUGACGAGACCUCAGGUCAGGCGGGGCUACCCGCUGAAUUUAAGCAUAUCAAUAAGCGGAGGA